GAUGCCACCUACCCGAAACCAACGCUGCUUUCCGCCGCCAACAGAGGCGACGCCGCCUGCCAUCCUACCAAUGGGCCGCUGCCGCUUGGGGCUACAGCAGGAGUAGUAGCGACGGGGCCGAGGUCCUUCGUGCGCUCCGGGAUGAAGGCCGCAAUUUCGUCGAGGUCGUUGCUGCCUCCGGCAUUUGGGGUGUGUCGCCGAGAUCGAGGCGAGCAUGAGGAGCUGUGGCCACCACCAUGGUCACCCUGUCGCAGGGCAUGGAGCAAGCCCUCAGCCUACAACUCGUGGAGAUCACCGUUGCUCUUCAGGUCACGGGGUGACUGGAUCUUGCCGAUGUGGCCCUCCUCAACGACCUCCUCUUCGCCCGGUUCACCGGCAUGGAUCUCGCCACUGCUACCCUCAACUUCUCUGCCUCGAGCCCGAUGGUCAGCCACCAUGGAUUCCUCAGCUGGAGGGUCACAUGACCCAGCCGUCCUCCCAUGCUGCAGCGGCUAGAAGGCGACAUGGCUCUCCGUACAUGAAGAGUGGAGUUCAGUCAAGUAUAUACUUGGCCUCUACUGCUGAUCCAUGUACAUGGAGAAAAACAAACAACCGCUCAUUCAUGCUUCGCUCCACUCCUUUGCGCUACAUUACUGGAGGUGACAUUUUCCUAUCUCUCUAUCUUGUAACAAGCCUGAUGCCUGCAUUGUUAAUGGAUUUUCUUAUAAUUUAUCGCUGCUUAGUGCUUUGUUGCAAUUGUUCACCCAAGAUUCUUAUAUAUAAUCUAAGCGUAUGUAGACAUACUUAGCUUUGCUAUUCCAUUUUUCUGGCGCAUAGAAAUAAGAGUAUUGUCCAGGUUAGGAUUUCAAUUGAGGAAAAAGUGAACAAGUAAAAUUUUCUUGCAAGAAAUAUAAUCUAAGCUAUUGAUGUUUCUUCCGUAUCAGUUCUUGAGUUAGAUUAGACUGUCCAUCUUCUCAUUUUCAUUGCCACGCUAUUAAAUUUGAAUCCGCCUUUUUUAUUCCAAUUUAAAUCAACAUCUAUGGAAUUUAUAGCACGAAAAUACUCUCAAAAUAUCAUACCAUUAAAUUUAAGUGGUCGGACCCUCUCCGGACACUGCACAAGUGGGAGCUACGUGUACUGUGCUUUUUAUAUUUGGUAGAAAUUUCUUUGGAGCAAAAUUUUCUGGACCUCCCAUCAUAUUUGCCCCUGAACGCUGAUAAAAUUUAAUGAGCUGCAUUGAGAAAUUUUGAUUGGUAAAGCUAUAAAGUUUAGUCUAUACUACUAUUAAACAAGCAAACAUUUUCUUCCCUAACCAUACCCUGCUCAGUGUACACAUAACAAUCCGGAGUAAUUAGAGCCACAAGAUCGAAUCCACUUAUUUAGAUCUAAUCGUAAAGAUAACAAUAAUCCUCACCAAAAGUGUGUUUAGCAAUUUUAGAGGGGAGACAAAAAAUCUGCCAUCCACUCGCCAGCAUUAUUUAGGUACGGGAAAAAAUGGCACAAUAUACGGAAACAACACGCCGGGGCAGCGGCGCAUCUUCGGGAAUCAGGGAGAAGAAGGAUAGGCAUGGCGGCGACUGAGGAGGUGCUCGCCAGCGCGCAGGAUUGGAUCGGGGUGCUUCCCCGCAGUCGCGGUCGUCCUUGCGAUGCCACCUACCCGAAACCAACGCUGCUCUCCGCCGCCAGCCGAGGCAACGCCGCCUGCCCUCCUACCCACGGGCCGCUGCCGCUUGGGGCUACGGCGGGAGGAGUAGCGACGGGGCCGAGGUCCUCCGUGUGCUCCGGGAUGAAGGCCACAAUUUCGUCGAGGUCGUUGCUGCCUCCGGCAUUCGAGAUGUGUUGCCGAGAUCAAGGCGAGCAUGAGGAGUUGUGGCCACCGCCAUGGUCACCUCGUCGCAGGGCAUGGAGCACGCCGUCGGCCUACAGCUCGUGGAGAUCACCGUUAGAUAGAUUUGGAUCCGCCUUUUUUCAUUCCCAUUUAAAUCAACAUCUAUGGAAUUUGUAGCACGAAAAUAAUCUAAAAUAUCAUACCAUUUCAAUUUUUAUUUUUUCAUAUUUGGCAUAAAUUUAAGUGGUCGGACCCUUCUCCGGACACUGCGCAAGCAGGAGCUACGUGUACCGGGCUUUUUAUAGUUGCCAGAAAUUUCUUUGGAGCAAAAUUUUCUGGACCUCCCAUCAUAUUUGCCCCUGAACGCUGAUAAAAUUUAAUGAGCUGCUUUGAGAAAUUUUGAUCGGUAAAGCUAUAAAGUUUAGGUCGAAUAUGUGAUUGGUGGCGAUACGCCGAAUGAUGUGGCGGCAGAUGGGCUAUGCUCUGGCAAUGAUUACAGGGAUGGCGCAGGAGGAAGUUUGCGAUGAUGGAAAGAAGAAAUGUCCGAAGAAUGACCAAUGCGGGUUAUUACAUGAUUUGGAUGUGCAAUAUUUUUGAAAGUAAAGGUUUCAAGCAUGGUUCACUUUUAACUGGCGAUAAUGCUCUCGAGUCAUAUAUGAAGGAAAUAUGCCCUAGAGGCAAUAAUAAAUUUAUUAUUUUAUAUUUCCUUAUAUCAUGAUAAAUGUUUAUUAUUCAUGCUAGAAUUGUAUUAAA